AUGCGAUUGAUUACUAUUUCUUCGCGUGAAUAUGAAUCCUCCACCAGUGCCUCAUAAACAACUAAAAAAAUAUUACAUAUAUAUGAAUCCUUCAAAAGAUAGGUUCGGAUCAAAUACUAAAGUGUGUCGAAGAAACUUGGUAUGAAACGCCUCUGCUUAGUGCUUAUCGUCGUGAUUCAUUCAGAUAUGUUUAUUUCGUCUUCGAAGUUGUUCUCCACCAAUUUAGCCAAAGCCAUCAACAUUGUUUACUUCAAUGAAGAUGAUAAAGCCGUAGAUAUUUUAAUCAAAACAAAGAUGAAAUGGAAUAAGAAAAAGCUGUUAAGGAUAUCAUUGGUAGACGAAAACAAGGAACCAAGGUGUGCAAAGACAUCCUUGAGAUAGAAGAUAUUAGUUAUUGUCUUAUCAAGAAGAAGGCAUGAAUUGAUGUAUGAAUUUAUUAUCUCUGGUUAAUUGGACAAUUUUUGUAGUUUGUAGACCCAUUCAAACCCCAGCAACAUCAAUCUGCAGAAGAAAAAGCCAGUUUGCAUAAUCUUCACUUUCGAAGGUCACGGAGAUCAUUACAUAAAACGUGUCAUGCAGUGGUGUAGAGGUUGGGGGAGAAC